rnacentral:lncRNA from 1 species
UCAACUAAUAGCUAAGCACACUAACAUGCUUGAUAUUCCCGAUCUAUUUGUACGUGUUUGAUGUUUAGGCACUAAGGCACAUGCAAAACAGGGGAGCAACAAGUCCAGGCAGUUGCCAAAGGUGAGGGCACACAUAAUGUGUGCCGCAAUGUUCGGCAUCUCCCUCAUCCAAUUCGCCAAACAAACAUCAAAACCAAUAACAGAUUUCUGAUUUAUUCCCUCCUUCUCGAUGUAAGCAGACCUUUCCAAUGCAUUUCUUUUCUUGUAUGUAAACCAGAUUCACAUGGCUUGGAUAUGCAAUUGCUUGAUAUUGUUGUCAUUACAUGGACGCUCUUGUGGCCUCAUGGGUAAAGUGUAGACUCUAAUCAGGUGAUUCGAGUACCAUGAAAUGUGAUUACUUCUGUGCUGCCUAUGACCAUGUAACGUAACUUACAGAUCUGAAGUUAUUUUUUUAUCCUUAUAUAUUUGAUUCUCUGUCUAUGGGCAUUUUUCUUUUUGAGUGCUUGCGCAGCUAAUUGAAACCCCAAUAGAAAAUUUCAAAGACUACAUUAAGGUAUAUGCUCAGCUCUUUAUGUUCAUUUUGAAUUUCUCAUGUUUUAUGGUGGAGGUUUUUAUAUGUAAUUCUCUGAUUACACUCCGCAAACAUGCAUUAGUUGUCAAUAUCGUUAGCUGUCCACACUAGAAACUUACCUUAGUAGUGCACUUCUAUGUAAUAACAACAAUGCUGCUGGACAGGUCCUUUCACCUGGACCCAUCAGUUUUCUACAUCUCAAGAAAUCUGAAUAUCAAGUUUUCAAACUUGAGUACCUGAAUUUCAUUUGUCCAAAUGAGAAUUGUGUAAGUCGUACAAACUUCCUAUGAUUUGUUUACCCAAUUCAUCUUACAGAUAUCCUAUCUAGGGAGAAAAUAUACAACCCAUUGUUACAUUAAUGAUGCUAGCAUCACAUAGGAGGUUGUUCAUGUCAUCCAAAAUUGCUACAAGAAUCUAAAGCCCAAUUGAAAUCAUUUUUUACCCAAACUGCAACUACACUGUAGCUUCUUUUCGGAGCUCUACACAUGUUCGUACUGUCCUAUCGAAGUUGGUGUACUAAGAUAUUAAUUAGUGAGUACUGCUAAACAUGCACUGUGUUAUACGUAAAUUAGCUGCAUGCCAUGUUGAGCACUUGCUUUCUUGGUUCUUAGUUUCAGGUUUUGUUGCCUGGUUCUAUUAUUUUUUGAAUAAUGCUAUUAAGAUGCAGUCGUGUCACUUUGCCUCUAAUAUUUCUACACAUCUUUAUUUUCUCUACCCGCGUGCUCCUAUUCUAAGUGAUCUCUAUGUUAGCUUCAAGGUCAACCUUAACAGUCAAUGGGAGGUUUAUCCCUAAUAAUAAAAUGUAAAUUAGGAAAAUGGAAAUAUAGCAAAUCUUGUUUGUUUAGGUAAGCAAUGUCAUGACUUGAAUACCAAAAGUGUUUAAGUCCAAGGUUGUUUUGUGUGUAGGCUCACCUGAGUGCAAUUAUCAUCUAUGUCUAUGGAUAGUUUGGAAAGGCUACAAUGGGGUUGCUCAGAGUAAGUUUUGCAUUGGUGUUAUACUGUUAGUACAUUGGCAUGUAAAAUAUUUUGUCUUGUGAUGUUUGGUAUUAAAUCACAUUUCCUUUCUCCUCUGCUAUAUUGCAGGGUUCAAGGCUUCCUGACAGGUGACCAUAACCAUUGUUCAUGAAACUACUUAUUGCUCUUGACGAAAGCGAUGCUGAAGGAUCAAGGGUUCAAUCAAGACGUAUUAGUUACCUUGACCAUUUUGUAUAUCUUUCGAUUUCUUCAGUUAAAAGGCCAUCGAUUACUGAAUUGUGUCUACUAUGCUACAAUGAAUUAUGAUUUGUAUAUUGGUAAUGUAGACAAAUGAAUUCUAUCAGAAAAGGUGGACAAAUGAAUUCCACAACUACGUGAG